ACGAACGCUGGCGGCGUGCUUAACACAUGCAAGUCGAACGGAAAGGCCCUGCUUUUGUGGGGUGCUCGAGUGGCGAACGGGUGAGUAACACGUGAGUAACCUGCCCUUGACUUUGGGAUAACUUCAGGAAACUGGGGCUAAUACCGGAUAGGAGCUCCUGCUGCAUGGUGGGGGUUGGAAAGUUUCGGCGGUUGGGGAUGGACUCGCGGCUUAUCAGCUUGUUGGUGGGGUAGUGGCUUACCAAGGCUUUGACGGGUAGCCGGCCUGAGAGGGUGACCGGCCACAUUGGGACUGAGAUACGGCCCAGACUCCUACGGGAGGCAGCAGUGGGGAAUAUUGCACAAUGGGCGGAAGCCUGAUGCAGCAACGCCGCGUGCGGGAGGACGGCCUUCGGGUUGUAAACCGCUUUCGCCUGUGACGAAGCGUGAGUGACGGUAAUGGGUAAAGAAGCACCGGCUAACUACGUG
rnacentral:rRNA from 1 species